CUCCGCUUCCUCCUCACAACAAAAAUGUACGAGAGAUUUUAAAACUGAAACAAAAACCCCGAAAAACUAAAAAGAACGAACCCGAUUUGUGAUUUUUUUUUUAACACAAAGACGAGAGAAGAAGCUCAAACGAGUUUCGUGAGACGUUGGAGUUUUAAUCUGCUCGUGUUUCUCCUCGGGGCGACUCUGACGCUCUGACUUCACGUGAAUCACGGAGCAGGAGACGAUUUUGAAACAACGACUCGUCAGAACGACACGUCGCCCCUGACUGAUCCAGAUCCAGGUCCUGAUCCAGACCCUGAUCCAGAUCCAGGUCCUGAUCCAGGUCCUAAAUCCAGACCCUGAUCCAGAUCAUGGAGAAAGUAACUGGGAUUUCUUGUAUCACCUACAAAGACGUGACAUGAGAUUUAACAACAUUUAAACUGUUCUUCUGAUUUACGCGACGAUCGUUCGGUUCGUCACGUUUGGAGUUUUAAAUUUAGAAUUUUCUAACUCAGAAUAAAACCGUUCAGACGUG